rnacentral:rRNA from 1 species
GCCACGCCCGCUCAAGAAACUCAAAGGAAGUUGACGGGGCCCGCACAAGCGGAGGAGCAUGUGGUUUAAUUCGAUGAUACGCGAGGAACCUUACCUGGGCUCGAACGUAAGAUGACUGUAGGUGAAAGCUUACAUCUCUUCGGAGCAUUUUACGAGGUGCUGCAUGGUUGUCGUCAGCUCGUGCCGUGAGGUGUCGGGUUAAGUCCCAUAACGAGCGCAACCCCUACCUUUAGUUGCCAUCAGGUUAAGCUGGGGACUCUAAAGGAACUGCCUACGCAAGUAGUGAGGAAGGCGGGGAUGACGUCAAAUCAGCACGGCCCUUACGUCCAGGGCUACACACGUGCUACAAUGGCCGAUACAGAGGGCAGCUACCUGGUGACAGGAUGCAAAUCUCCAAAGUCGGUCUCAGUUCGGAUCGGAGCCUGCAACCCGACUCCGUGAAGUUGGAUUCGCUAGUAAUCGCGCAUCAGCCAUGGCGCGGUGAAUACGUUCCCGGGCCUU